rnacentral:lncRNA from 1 species
GGCAUCCGGAUGGCGACUGCGGGAAAUCGAGUUCUCAUGCUGGGGCGAAAGGACCGUCCGCCCGCUCGGAAGAGGCGAAUCUCCCACGGCAGACGUCUGGGUGUGCGAAUGCCAGUUGAGCGGGGCCUCGAGGACGCGUCACACACAGCGAGGAUUUGAGGAGGGAAGCGCCUUCCAGAGCUUCAGAGAAGAGGCAGAAGUGUGCAAACAGGAGCAGGUCCAAGAUUUGCAUGGCCAGAAGCAAUUCUUGAUCCUCUUGGCUAGAUUCGAAGAUUUGGCCACCUCCAGACGCUACCACACUCUGGGACAGUGGGAGAUUUGGAACAGCUUUGAGAAGAGCAAGGUGAGCUGGGACUUCCUGGAGCAGGCUGCCCAGGAAAAGCCAUUCCAUGGCAGAACUUGCGAGGGUGAGGUCGAGGGUUAAGGGAUAAGCGGGCAGAGGGUAGAAAUCCAAUUGGGCUAUUCCUAAAGCAUCCCCAGUCGCUUGGUUUUCCACUCUUCACCGAUGCUGCACUAAUGCCACGUAGGUCCAUCCCCGCAUAUGACACCAGGGAUUUUAUUCUGACCUCACAAGAUCCCAGGAUGAUGGCUCACAAAGGGCUUCCCUGGUUAUUUACUUCUGACUCUUGAAAGCUUAAAGAAAUUGUGCCUGAGAGGUUCAGUACCUUGUCCAGGGACACCCAGUUUGUGCAGAGCCGGGAGGAAAACACAGUUCAGUUCACUGUCACAGGUGAGUCACCAAAAACAUCCUAUAAAAAGACCUUUUGAGAAACUGUAACCCCGUUAAAACUAGUUAAAAAUUCUUGCCUUAAAGCAUUCCAUAUUCAUUUUACUUGGCUUUCUGUGGAUUUUCUCCCAUGAGAGACAAGCAGUAUUAAUCGGAAAACGGUUAAGUGGUGCAGCCUGAGUGUUUUGCUGUGUUAAUUUUAAUAAAAGAACAGUGCCUUAUCCUUCAAGUACUUUAAUUAAUCCUCUGUUGUGUUGUUUCUGUUAGUCAUUCAGAAAAACUGAAGUAUCAUUUAACCAUGGAAAAGUGCAUAUUCCGUUGAUGAAAAGCGUAGGUUUUAGUCCACUUGAGCAUUUCUGAGUCUUAGGUGGUAGGUGGUGCUGCCUCUGCAGUUCUUCCUGGGCCUCCCUGCUGAGCCAUCACAGUUCUAUGCUCUCCCACAAGCUGCAGAAAACCAGCCAAUCUCACACAAGCUCUUUAUUCAUUUCCCAGGCAGCUCUUUAUUCAUUCUCCACUUGGCAUUGUAAUGGAUUUAUGAGGCUUAUAAGGGUCUGUAUGUAAAUGAAAUAAAAAUAGAAAUAGAUGAACCCAGUCUUGAGGGAAAAUAUAUGUGGUUUCAACAUAAACUCUGAUAUUUGCUCUUGGUGUAACCCAGGUUCCCUGGAUUUUCCUGUACACUCUUUGAACCCACUUUGAACCCACUUGUAACUGUUGCACUUUGAGUUCUUGUUGUUUCAAAAAGUUCCAGGAAGAAGCUCAGCCCUUGCAAAACAAAAAAACUGGUUGGAUCUUUGGCGAACUCUCCUCAUUACCAUUCUAAAAACCCUGCCCAGGGAGGAGCUUUUUGGCCAUUUUCUACACAUGCCACAAAGGUAGAAGCAUGAUCAGCUACUGCACCUGCACUGCCUUUACUCUACCUCUACAUAUAAUGACUUAGCUAACCAGCCCAAUAAAAGGCCUGUUUUCACUCUGUUUGGGGAGACACUGCUUUGGGGAACCAUUCCCAUGUCCUCUUUACUUGUUCCAAGUAAUAAAAUCCCCUUAUUAUGUCCCCCUUGAUUGUGUUCAUUGAUCUGUCACCUGCCAAGUGAUCAAACCCACCCAUUGUGUGUGGAACAUUGUGUAUUGGUCUAUUCUCCCAUUGCUAUAAAGAAACACCUAAGAUUGGGUAAAGAAAAGAGGUUUAAUUGGCUCAUGGUUUUGCAGGCUGUUCAGGAAGCAUGAUGCUGACAUCUGCUUCGCUUCUGGGGAGGCCUCAGGAAGCUUACAAUCAUGGCAGAAGGUGAAGGGGGAGCAGGCAUGUCACAGGGCCAGAGCAGGAGCAAGAGAGUGAGGGGCGAGGUGCCACAUACUUUUAAACCACCAGAUCUUGGGAGAACUCACUAUCACAAGGUUAGUACCAGGAGGAUGCUACUAAACUAUUCAUGAGAAAUCGGCCUCCAUGAUCCAGUCACCUCCUCCCGCCAGGCCCCUCCUUCAACAUUGAGGAUUACAAUUGAAUGGGAGAUUUAGGUGGGGACACAUAUCCAAACCACACAUCCAAACACUGGCUCUUGCUAGGUAACCUUUGUUGAUAAGUAGGUUCCCUCUACUUACUAGUUUGCUUAGACUUUCAUUUAGUCAUGCAUGAAUGUACUUUGUUAUGUUGAGUAUCUUUUCUAUCUCUAUUGAAAUAAAGCCCAGAUUAUUUUCUUUAAUCUUAUGCUAAUCACAAUAUUUAUUGUUGAUUUUCUAAUAUUUAUUAUUGAUCUCCUGUAUAGAUCUGACAUGCUGAUGAGUAUGGUGAGUUGCUUUGAAUGUGUGUUGAGUGGGAUCCUUUACCAGUACUAUAUUUAGGAUAUUUAUGUCUUUGUCAUAAGUUAGGUGAACCUAUAAUUUCCUUUUCCCUUUUUGGUGUUAUGGCUCUAUUAGCCUCAUAAAAGGAAUGGGGUCACUUUUCUCCUCCUUUUUUCUUUCCUUGAUGUUUUUCUCCCUGUAACUUAAUAUGAAAAAAAUUGCCUGUUGUUUGUGGGGGGAUUUUUGUGUGCAGAUUUUGAAAAUAACAUCAGUUAUUAAUACUAAAUGGUCAAGAGCUCCUGGAUUUUCCUCUCACCAUGUAGCUUAUCUUUUCAUAUUCUUUUUUUUUUUUACUUAAAAAUUAUUUUUAUAUAUUUAGGGGGUAUAAAUGCAGGAUUCUUAAGUGCGUAUAUUGAGUAGUGGUGAAUUCUGGGAUUUUAGUGUACUAUUGCCUGAAGAGUGAACAUUGUACCCAAUAGGUAGUUUUUCAACCCUCACCCCCUCCCACUCUCCCACCUUUUGGAGUCUCCAGUGUCUGAUAUUCCACAUUUUUUUUUUUUUUUGAGACGGAGUUUCGCUCCUGUUGUGUAGGCUGGAGCACAGUGGUGCGAUCUCGGCUCACCACAACCUCUGACUCCUGGGUUCAAGUGAUUCUCCCGCCUCAGCCUCCUGAGUAGCUGGGAUUACAGGUGCCUGCCACCACACCCAGCUAAUUUUUGUAUUUUUAGUAGAGAUGGGGUUUCACCAUGUUGGCCAGGCUGGUCUCGAACCCCUGACCUCAGGUGAUCUGCCCACCUCUGCCUCCCAAAGUGCUGGGUUUACAGCCAUGAGCCACUGCACUGGGCCUGUUAUUCCACUUUGUCUGUGCAUGUGUACCCACUGUUUAGCUCCCAUGAAUAAGUGAGAGCAUGUGGUAUUUGACUUUCUGAGUUAUUUCACUGAAGAUAAUGGCCUCCAGUUCCAUCUGUGUUGCUGUGAAAGACAAUCUUUUCAUAUCUUAAGUGUCUUUAAAAAAGAAGGGUUUAAUCAAUCAAGUUUUCAAAAACUUUAACCUUUUUUUCUUAUGCUUUUUUGCUCAUGUAUAAGAAAUCUUUGCCUAAACCAAGGUCACAAAGAUUUCUUCCCAUGUUUUUUAGUUGCAGGUCUUACAUUUAUGUCUAUGUUUUUUUUUUUUUUGGUAGAGGGCAGGGUCUUCCUCUGUGUCAUCCAGGCAUGAUCAUAGCUUACUGCAGCCUUGGACUCCUAGGCUAAAGUGAUCCUCUUCCCUCAGCCUCCCAAGUAGCUAGGGUAGGACUACAGGUGCAUGCCACUAUGCCUGGCUGAUUUUUAAAUUUUUUGUAGAGACAGAGUCUCACAUCAUUGCUCAGGCUGGUCUUGAUCUCCUGGCCUAAAGCAAUUCUCUCAUCUUGACCUCCCAACAUGCUGGUACUAUAAGCAUGAGCCACCACCAUGGCUGACCCUCUGUGAUCAUUUUGAAUUCAUUGUUAUUUUUGUUACAAGGUAUAGAUCAAGUGUGGAGUCCUAAUUAGGGAAAAGGAGUGGCUGGCGUGACCAGGGGAAAGCAAAGAAAUAAAGCAGAUAUGCUAUAAGGUCUGCCUUUCCUCCUGGUCCAGGACAUAGAAACAAAAAUAGAAAGCAGAUAAACUGUAAGUCUGCUGUACUCCUUAUGGCCCAGGACAUAUAGCCCUCCUGUGUAGAUAAUGUAUAGAAUUGACAGAUUUCCUGCUUAUCAUCAAAUGCUUCAAUUUCUCAUCAAACACCUCAGCAGACAGAAAAACGCAAGUUAGCUUCCUGCUACAGUUGCGUUAUCCAUCAGCCCAAAUUCCAUUCUAUAAAGUCUGCAGCAAGUCUUUGUCUCCCAGCAGUCAGCUUCUCUCUUGCUGAUUCAAUCCAUUGCUUUCUCGCAAUGCAUUUUCAUACCUUCUCUAAUAAAUCUGCUUUUCUUUACCUACAACUGUCUUGGUAAAUUCUUUUUACUCCUGUGCCACCAGCCCAGAUAGUUGCCACUCACGCAUGACUGUAUGGGGGACUCUCCCCUUAUGGGAAACACUCUCCCUUCUUAUUUUCCCUUUCCCAACUUGGGACCCUUGGUGGACAAGUGUCUACGCACAAAGACAACUCUAGGUCUCCUGCUGGAGCUACACUCCCAUGGGACUAAACGGUGUCCAUGUGGAAGCAUCUGAUGGCCACCUUCUGUUCAGGUGAGAAACCUGUUUAUUCUGUCUUUAGUCUUUCAGCAGCCGGCUUCUAGUAUCUCCUGGCAAUUGAUGGUAACUGGCUGGAGCUGCUCUCUGGUGUUGCCUGAAGGCCAGAGAGUGAAUAGGGCCAGCAGCCCUGCCUGCAAGGCAGAAAGGCUGUUCCUAUAUUUUCUGAUCGGUAGCCUCAAUGCCUACGUGUGACGCAACUGACAGUGGAAGCUCAUUCACGGCAAAUUCACAUGUUUUGGAUGACUCAGAUUUUCUCUUUCUCACUCUAAAUUCUCCUGUGGAGUCAGCCAGCCAUCCUAUUCCAGCUAAAUCAGCUGAUCUUGGUCACCACCCCAUCCCCAGGGAUGGGCGGAGGGGGUGGCGGCAGCGACAGCAGGGGAGGCAGCUGGAUUAAACAGGUCACCUGCAGGUAUUUUAUGCUGGGGUUUGUAAGGAAGGUGAUAACUGUCGCUACUCCCAUGACCUCUCUGACAGUCCGUGUGGUGUAGUGUGCAAGUAUUUUCAGUGAGGGUACUGUAUUUAUGGAGACCGCUGCAGAUAUGAACAUAGCAAGCCAUUGAAACAGGAAGAAGCAGCUGCUACAGAGCUAACUACAAUAUCAUCCCUUGCUGCUUCCUCAAGUCUCUUGUCGUUAGUCGGACCACUUGUUGAAAUGAAUACAGGUGAAGCUGAGUCAAGAAAUUCAAACUUUGCAAUUGUAGGAGCAGGUUCAGAGGACUGGGUGCAUGCUAUUGAGUUUGUUCCUGGGCAACCCUACUUUGGCUAUAUUAGAUUUUCAGUUCCCUUGUAGUUCAUGUAUCUGUCUUAUUAGUUUGGACCUUUACCACCCUCUUGAAAAUUUUCAGCUGUGCCUUCCUGCACUGAAGCACCUCUGCAGGACUCAGUGACCAAGGAAGAAUCAGAGAAAGAGAAAAACUGCUGUGGAAACCAAGAAGCAGCUGUGCCCCUGUGCUGCAGUGAGAGAGUGCUGAGAUGGGGAGAACUGUGUGCCUCUCCAUGGAGAUUCAUGUGACAUGUGUGGACUGCAGGUCCUGCAUCCCAUGGCUGCUGCCCAGAGAUCACAGCAUAUAAAAUUGUGCAUUGAGGCCCAUGAGAAGGACAUGGAGCUCUCACUUGCUGUGCAGCGCAGCAAGGACGUGGUGUAUGGGAUCUGCAUGGAGGUGGUCUAUGAGAAAGCAAACCCCAGUGAGUGCUGCUUCGGGAUUCUCUCCAACUGCAACCAUGCCUACUGUCUCAAGUGCAUUCGCAAGUGGAGCAGUGCUAAGCAAUUUCAGAGCAAGAUUAUAAAGUCCUGCCUAGAUUGCCAGAUCACAUCUAACUUUGUCAUUCCAAGUGAGUCCUGGGUGGAGAAAGAAGAGAAGCAGAAACUCAUUCAGAAAUACAAGGAGGCAUUGAGCAACAAGGCUUGCAGGUAUUUUGAUGAAGGACGUGGGAGCUGCCCAUUUGGAAGGAAUUGUUUUUACAAGCAUGCGUACCCUGAUGGCCUUACAGAGAAGCCACAGAGACAGAAAGUGGGAACAUCAAGCAGAAACUGGGUCCAAUGAAGGAACCACUUCUGAGAACUCACUGAGGAAAGAGAUAGCAGCAACCCUUUUGACAAUGAUGAAGAGGUUGUCACCUCUUGAGGUGGGCGAGAUGUUGCUUAUGCUUUUGGCUGCAGGUGGGGAUGAUGAACUGGCAGACUCUGAAGAUGAGUGGGACUUGUUUCAUGAUGAGCUGGAAGAUUUUUAUGAUUUGGAUCUAUAGCAACCUUGUGUGGCGUGUGAACUGGUCUGCUGACCCCAGACAGCAGCUGUCCCCUGUGCUGGUGUGGCAGUGCCUGUGUUCUCUCCUAGGAAAAGAAAAUUUGGACAUAGACUCAUACAGAGGAAAGAUGAUGUGAGGACAGACAUCUAAGCCACGGAGCAAGGCCCUUCCCUCACAGCUCUCAGAAGGAACCAAACCUGUUGACAUCUGUUUUUUUUUUUUUGAGAUGGAGUCUAGCUCUGUCGCCCAGGCUGGAGUGCAGUAGCACGAUCUCAGCUCACUGCAGCCUCCGCCUCCCAGGUUCAAGCAAUUCUCCUGCCUCAGCCUCCCGAGUAGCUGGGAUUACAGGCACCCGCCACCACGCCCGGCUAAUUUUUAUAUUUUUAGUAGAGACAGGGUUUCACCACGUUGGCCAGGCUGGUCUCGAACUCCUGACUUCAAGUGAUCUGCUCUCCUUGGCCUCCCAAAGUGCUGGGAUCACAGGCGUGAGCCACUGCACCCGGCCCCUGUUGACAUCUUGAUCUCAGACUUCACCCGGCCCCCGAUGACAUCUUGAUCUCAGACUUCUGGUCUCCAGAAUGGUGGGAAAAUAAAUUGCUGUUUAAUCUACCCAGUCUGUGGUUCUUUAUUAUAGCAGCCCUAGCAAACUAAUACUAAGGCUCUAACCUUUAUCUCCCUCCCCUCUCUUAUUAUUCCCUAAGAGGAAGUCCAAACUGCAAUAGGCAAAGAUUCUUAAUGGACCUUGCAUGCCUUGUUUAGCCUGCUCUCAAAAUGCAGUAAUCUCCUG